ensembl:snRNA U6 U6 spliceosomal RNA
AUGCUCACUUUGGCAGCACAUACACUAAAACUGAAAUGAUUACACAGAUUAGCAUUGCCCUUGUGCAAGCAUAACGUGCAAAAGCAUGAAUCAUUUUAUAUUUUU